AGAGUUUGAUCCUGCCUCAGAUUGAACGCUGGCGGAAUGCUUUACACAUGCAAGUCGAACGAUGAACCUUAGCUUGCUAAGGGGAUUAGUGGCGAACGGGUGAGUAAUAUAUCGGAACGUACCUUGUAAUGGGGGAUAACUAGUCGAAAGAUUAGCUAAUACCGCAUACGCCCUGAGGGGGAAAGUAGGGGAUCUUCGGACCUUACGUUAUAAGAGCGGCCGAUAUCUGAUUAGCUAGUUGGUGGGGUAAUGGCCUACCAAGGCGACGAUCAGUAGCUGGUCUGAGAGGACGACCAGCCACACUGGAACUGAGACACGGUCCAGACUCCUACGGGAGGCAGCAGUGGGGAAUUUUGGACAAUGGGCGCAAGCCUGAUCCAGCCAUUCCGCGUGAGUGAAGAAGGCCUUCGGGUUGUAAAGCUCUUUCGCAAGGGAAGAAAACUUACAUUCUAAUAAAGUGUGAGGCUGACGGUACCUUGAUAAGAAGCACCGGCUAACUACGUGCCAGCAGCCGCGGUAAUACGUAGGGUGCGAGCGUUAAUCGGAAUUACUGGGCGUAAAGCGUGCGCAGGCGGUUUUGUAAGUCAGAUGUGAAAUCCCCGAGCUCAACUUGGGAACUGCGUUUGAAACUACAAGACUAGAAUAUGUCA
rnacentral:rRNA from 1 species